rnacentral:rRNA from 1 species
GAAAGAUGAAAAGAACUUUGAAAAGAGAGUUAAACAGUACGUGAAAUUGUUGAAAGGGAAACGAUUGAAGCCAGUCGUACCUUCGGGUAAUCAGCCUUUCGGGUGCGAUUCUGUGGAGUGUGAGGAGCUUAAACACCUUCAUGUUUUGCAUAUUCGUACUCUUGGGUGUACUUGCCCGUGUGGUUGGUUAACAUCAAUUUCGGGCACCAUAAAAUGGCUGGAGGAAUGUAGCUUCGAUCUUGUAUUGAAGUGUUAUA